rnacentral:misc_RNA from 1 species
CCCUCGUGGGCUACACCCAAAAUUUUAGUAGUUGACAUCCACAGUGACCAUAAUAUCUUAGUUUUACCAGGUACUAGACAACAUUUACAGUAUGCAGGCAACUUGCUAAAUGAUUUAGAAGGUUUGCGCUCCAUAUGAUAAUGCAUUCUGGCGUGUAUCUCUCUAUCUUCUGCCUUGGUCUUUGUUUUGCUGUGUCCUACGCAGCAAAAUGCCGAGAAGGGCAAAUGCCAUUGCAUCAAAUUAUAGGCUCAAUAUAUUUCGUUCAAUGCAGGUGCACAGGAAGAUAAAUAAUGCCA